rnacentral:miRNA from 1 species
UGCACUUUUUGGUAAGAAGAUGUUAACAAAAGUUGUUCGUCAUGAUGAGGGCUACAACUUUGCUUAAUAUCCUUUUAACAAAUUAUGCGUAUUUAAGGAGAUAGCGCAGCGCAUGCGCAGAACGUAUCUCCUUACCUUUGCACUUUUUGGUAAGAAGAUGUUAACAAAAGUUGUUCGUCAUGAUGAGGGCUACAACUUUGCUUAAUAUCCUUUUAACAAAUUAUGCG